rnacentral:rRNA from 1 species
UACGGAGGAUCCAAGCGUUAUCCGGAUUUAUUGGGUUUAAAGGGUGCGUAGGCGGCCUAUUAAGUCAGGGGUGAAAGACGGUAGCUUAACUAUCGCAGUGCCUUUGAUACUGAUGGGCUUGAAUGCAGCUGAGGUAGGCGGAAUGUGACAAGUAGCGGUGAAAUGCAUAGAUAUGUCACAGAACACCGAUUGCGAAGGCAGCUUACUAAAGUGUGAUUGACGCUGAGGCACGAAAGCGUGGGGAUCAAACAGG